GAUGAACGCCGGCGGCGUGCCUAAUACAUGCAAGUCGAGCGAAGCGGGGACGGGCGAGCAACACGUGGAUAACCUCCUAUAAGACUGGGAUAACUUAGGGAAACCGGAGCUAAACCGUAUACUCAUAGAUGGACCCGCGCUGCAUUAGACAGUUGGUAAGGUAACGGCUUACCAAGGCAACGAGGCAUACCCGACCUGAGAGGGUGAGCGGCCAGACAGGAACUGAGACGCGGUCCAGACGCCUACGGGAGGCAGCAGUAGGGAAGCUUCCGCAAUGGGCGAAAGCCUGAGGGAGCAACGCCGCGUGGGUGAUGAAGGUCUUCGGAUCGUAGAACUCUGUUAUUAGAGAGGCAGUGCCUAAUCGGAAGGCGACGGCUAACUACGUGCCAGCAGCCGCGGUAGUAC
rnacentral:rRNA from 1 species